rnacentral:rRNA from 1 species
GACAGAGGAUCCAAGCGUUAUCCGGAAUCAUUGGGUUUAAAGGGUCCGUAGGCGGUUUAAUAAGUCAGUGGUGAAAGCCCAUCGCUCAACGGUGGAACGGCCAUUGAUACUGUUAAACUUGAAUUAUUAGGAAGUAACUAGAAUAUGUAGUGUAGCGGUGAAAUGCUUAGAGAUUACAUGGAAUACCAAUUGCGAAGGCAGGUUACUACUAAUGGAUUGACGCUGAUGGACGAAAGCGUGGGUAGCGAACAGG